ACGGGAGGCAGCAGUGGGGAAUAUUGCACAAUGGGGGAAACCCUGAUGCAGCGACGCCGCGUGAGUGAAGAAGUAUUUCGGUAUGUAAAGCUCUAUCAGCAGGGAAGAUAAUGACGGUACCUGACUAAGAAGCCCCGGCUAACUACGUGCCAGCAGCCGCGGUAAUACGUAGGGGGCAAGCGUUAUCCGGAUUUACUGGGUGUAAAGGGAGCGCAGACGGCCAUGCAAGUCUGAAGUGAAAUCCACGGACUCAACCCGUGAACUGCUUUGGAAACUGUAAGGCUAGAGUGCAGGAGAGGUAAGUGGAAUUCCUAGUGUAGCGGUGAAAUGCGUAGAUAUUAGGAGGAACACCAGUGGCGAAGGCGGCUUACUGGACUGUAACUGACGUUGAGGCUCGAAAGCGUGGGGAGCAAACAGGAUUAGAUACCCUGGUA
rnacentral:rRNA from 1 species